CUUUAAGACAAUCCUGAAGCCAUUUUUGACAAUUCUGAAUCCUCUCAGCCUCUGUGCCAUAGUGCUUCCCCUCCUCCCCUGGGAACCAAGGACCUAACAGCUACACUCGCAUGUAGUCAGUUCCUGAACAAUUACCCAUAUACGUAUGCUUUGGUUCGGUCCCCUGGGAAAAGGGGUCAAAAUGACCUCUUACCUCAUCUGAUCUGGCAACAGCUCUCCAGUCAAUUAUUGGUAAUAGCCCUUUCAAAUAAGCCAAUCAGAAUAGUCAAAGAACAACCCCCCUUGCUUCUGUGGCCCCUUUAAAAGUAGACUGUACCCGCUACUCGAGGUCCCUCGGCUUCCCGAAUGCUGGGAGACCCUGUCAUGACAGAAUUAAUAAAAUCCUCAUGCUUUUGCAUCGGCUGUGGUGUGUGGUCUCUGGGGACGACUCCUUCUCGGUGUUUGGAGUCCAACAUUUGGUUUCCUGACCGGGAAUCGAGUCGCUCCCAGACACACUCUAGACCCAGUUGGAGGGCUAAUAUUUGAAGGGGACCAGGCAGUGGGACAGACGUGUCCGGGAACACUCCCUGGCCCAGCCGUGGAGGACGCUUCACUGGCAAUUUGUGAAACUAGGAGCGACUAGGUCAUCUUAGUUUCUAGGGCGUGUGGCCCUUAUCGCCCACUCCCUUCCAGGUUCGUAUCAGUUUGUUGCUGCGCGGCUUCUGAUUUUGAGUCUAUGUCUGUCUUUUUGUUCUUGUGUAUUUUCAGUUCUACACCAGAGUGGUGGUGAGAGCACCAGCUUCUAGUUUUGAGUUUAUGUCUGUCUCUUUGUAUUUUUUGUUUUUUGUAUGUCGGUUUGUCUUUGUUAAAAUCCACCUGCAGGAAUUCAGAACCUGGCACCGGCCCCCUGGCCAUCAUCAGUUUCCCUGAUUCCUAAAGCAGCCCCACUGCUGGAGGAGAUGGUGGCUGCCCCUCCCCAAGCCCUUUGUCUUCUCUCUUUCCUGUACAGGAGCAAAAGAAACCCAGAAUCCAGGCACCUCUGGUUCUUCCUGAUAUCCAGCCGAGCAUGACAGACUUCUCCCUCCUCCUCCCCGGGAGGAAGCACUUCGUUCCUGAGGAGCCCCGCUGGUCGGGCCCUAGCCCUGAAAACUUCAAUACUCAGCAUCUACACUGGGACAGGGGAAGAAUAAAAAUGACUUCCCAAACAUUUCCCCUUCACUCAGUAGCAGGCCAGUUACAAUACUGCCUUUUUCUGCUUCAAAUCUUUACUUACAACCCUUCCUUUUCUCGGGACCUUCAGGCCGUGACCGGGUUUACAGAAUCUGUUCUGGUUAUUCAUCAGCCCACUUGGGAUGAUUGCCAGCAGCUCUUACAGGUGCUCCUAACUACAGAGACAAAAAAGAAUGUCCCAGGAGCUGACAGCAGGCCAACCCAAUCACUGGACAAGAAAGAGGAUGGGACUUCAAUACUCCAGCUGGUAGGGAGCAGCUCCAUCUUUAUUGCCAGAGUCCAGUUGGCGGGUCUAAAAAAAGGAGGAGGGGGGGUUGCAAAGCACCCCACUAAUUUGCUAAUUUGGCUAAGGUAAGAGCAAAGGUCUGACAGUACUCCUACAGGAUUUUUAGAAAGAUUAUUAGAGCGGUACAAGAUGUAAACCCAUUUUAAUCCCAUGGCAGCAGAUCGCCAAGCCAAUGUAGUGAUGUAUUUUAUAGGCCAGUUAGCAUCAGACAGCAAGUUGCAGAGAAUGGAGGGACUGCAGAGAUGCUCCCUCCAGGACUUAGUAAAAAAAAAAAAAUAGACAGAUAGGGAGGCAACAGAAGACGACAGCUGCAGAGAUUGCCCGCCUCAGACAGAGCAGCCCCUGAGUGGCCAAAUGCAGUCUUCAGUGAGGAGUGGCCCUACAGGACUUUGGGCUCGGGACUGAAAUUCCCCCCCUUGCUUAUGCUGUGCACCCAGGUGUUCGAUUCUGGGGUGUACGGAGAAAAAAAGGGGAGGGGUUCCUCCUCACUAUGUCUAAAGCAUUUGACUAAUGAAUGGACACAAGAACUGCUGAUUAAAAAAAGACCUAUUGGAGACUUUGAUUUUCCCUACUGUUCUCCAGGACUGUAAAGAAAAGCUGGCUACUCUCUGCCUUCGCCAUGCCCACCUUGCUGAGGAAGGCUUUGCAGCCACUGCUGGCUGAAUCCUCCCAGCUGCCUUGGUCACAGCCCAAGCCUGGAAACUCUGCUUACCUGCCCCCACAGGUAGCAACUGACUGAAGCGAGGAGGGGCCUGGGAGGUUCCGGAGCCCAAUUCCAAACAGCCUUCCCAAGCUGCUUACAAGUUUCACAGAGAACAACUGCCCUCAGCUCCCAGACCGCAGCUAUGGAAAGCUUGGGGCUAGGCAAUGCCAGGGAGAGCCGGUUUUGGUGGUGCAUGCUGGUAAGGAGGCAGGGCAGCAAUGAUAAAUGACCUGAGCAGCCUACUUAAAGGGACAUCACCUGGAUGGCAGAGAAGCUUUUUCUUACCAGGACUAAGAAGAUCAAAGAAGAAAUCUUCUCGAGGUUUGGCCUGCUCAAGGUAAUCGAGGUUGAUGGUAAAACUGCCUUGUUGCUCAAAAAAAGUCAGGGCAUAGGUAAGACUGAAAAAAAUUACAUUGUACAUACAGACCCCAGAGUUCAGGACAGGUAAAAAGGAUAAAUAAAGGCCCUUACCAAAUUAGCCUUUGGAAUCUGGCACUAGAGACUGGGUACAGCUCCUUCCCUUAGCCCCGUUCUGUGUACGAAACACCUCGUCUCAGCUUGGACUAACCCCCUAUGAGAUCCAAUAUGGGGGACCCCCCACUUAGUUUCCUAAGGCCCCUCAUGACCCAUUUGCUCACAAACCCCAUCUGCAGGCGCGGUUGAAGGCUCUUCAGAUCUCCGAGCCCAGGCAUAGAGACCCCUGGCCACCCGGAAACCUGGAAAUCUCACAUUCGUUCCAGAAUUGACGCCUGGGGUAUAUCCGGAGGGACAUGAAAAAAGCUGCAGCACCCCACAGCCAGAACAGCAGCUGCCCGCUCAUACCUGCAAUCCACGCCUCCUCAAGCCCUCGCUGAUACCCCUGCCCUUACCCCUGAUUUCUGUCAACUAGUGGCAGAGCUAGCCUCCUGGGAUAUCCGAGAUACAUAUCCCCCACAGCUGCCCCUGGAGGCUGGCAAUAUUUCCCCUGGAGGAAAUAUUUGGACACGGGGGUUCAGACAUCUCCCCCACUUGUCUCCCAGGGGCGAGAGGCGGGGCUGUCUUCAUGGGUGUCGGGAAGGACUUGGGACAUAAAAUGGUAUUUAUCUGACCAGAGCCUGCUGCUGCAGGCCAGACUAGACCCUCCCUAAAGGGGCCCUAGCUAUCCCUGCUGCUGCCCGCUGGACUAAGCUACUCUCCCUGCUUCUUUGCUGGCACCUCCCAACACCAGCCCGGGCACCCGGAAAUCUCACACCCAUUCCAGGUUGGCGAUUCUGUGUACGUUCGGAGACACCGGUCUCAGAACCUUAAACCUCACUGAAAGGGACCCUACACCUACCGCCCUCAAAGUGGACGGUAUUACAGCCUGGAUUCAUGCAUCUCACGUCAAGCCUACACCUCCACAGGACGACCCAGGACCAUCCAAAUAAAAGCUUCCACGUACCCAAAAUCCUCUCAAGGAGGCCUGAUUCUGCCAGGCUUGCUGAUCUUUGCCCUGAUGUUUAUACCUCAGGACUUAACCUGGACCCUAACUAACUUUGAGACUGGGCAAGCCUUAAGGCUAGCCACUGGAGUUCAUCCCCUGGAUACCUGGUUCCUCCAGCUAACUUUUGACCUGUGUAUUUUAUACUGAGCAAACCCCUGGAAACUUUUAUCCUGUAUGCAAAUAUUCUGAAUGAUAUGUUUGUCCGGGGGGAAAAAUGUGUGGGGGGGGCGGCUAAAGUUUAUUGUGCUGCCUGGGGAUGUAAAACCAAUGUCAAUGUCUCCUGGUUGAGGGUUAACAAAAAGGACUUAGUCUCUUUCACCCGUACCACACCAGAAAAAAUGUCUGAAAUCACAAUCACUUUUACUGAGAAAAAAAAAUCUGACAGGCAAUACUUGGGGUUUAUAGUUAUAUGAUCCAGAAAAAAAAAGACAUAGGGAUUCUGUUCACCCUGUGAGUUGUAACACCUCCAAUGACCAUAGUACUAGGGCCCAACCCAGUAUUAACUGACCAGGGCCAAUGAGCCCCUGCCGAGGUAGCCCCCCUUUCCAGGGCCCUGGGCUCCACUCCUAGUCCUAAAAACCCUUCUACAACUCCUGCUUCACUGCUGGCAAGCUCUAAUACAGGCCAGUGACUGUUUAAUCUGAUAGUGGGAGCCUUUUCUUUGCUAAAUAGUACUGACCCCAGCUUGACACAAUCUUGUUGGCUAUGCUUGUCAGCAGGACCUCCCUAAUAUGAGAAAAUAGUCUCAUCUGACAGUUUAUUGAUCUAUGAUGGGUCUAUAACACUUGUUUGUUAAUUUCUGUAUACAGAUCCAAUUGGUCCUCCAAAUUUACUAAUAUCUCAAGAUUGAGAUAUUUGACCAAAUAAGAGGAGGUAGUGUAAGACUUUAAGACAAUCCUGAAGCCAUUUUUGACAAUUCUGAAUCCUCUCAGCCUCUGUGCCAUAGUGCUUCCCCUCCUCCCCUGGGAACCAAGGACCUAACAGCUACACUUGCACGUACUCAGUUCCUGAACAAUUACCCAUAUACGUAUGCUUUGGUUCUGUCCCCUGGGAAACGGGGUCAAAAUGACCUCUUACCUCAUCUGAUCUGGCAACAGCUCUCCAGUCAAUUAUUGGUAAUAGCCCUUUCAAAUAAGCCAAUCAGAAUAGUCAAAGAACAACCCCCCUUGCUUCUGUGGCCCCUUUAAAAGUAGACUGUACCCGCUAUUCGAGGUCCCUCGGCUUCCCGAAUGCUGGGGGACCCUGUCAUGACAGAAUUAAUAAAAUCCUCAUGCUUUUGCA